UACGGAGGGUCCAAGCGUUAUCCGGAAUCAUUGGGUUUAAAGGGUCCGUAGGCGGUUUAGUAAGUCAGUGGUGAAAGCCCAUCGCUCAACGGUGGAACGGCCAUUGAUACUGUUAAACUUGAAUUAUUAGGAAGUAACUAGAAUAUGUAGUGUAGCGGUGAAAUGCUUAGAGAUUACAUGGAAUACCAAUUGCGAAGGCAGGUUACUACUAAUGGAUUGACGCUGAUGGACGAAAGCGUGGGUAGCGAACAGG
rnacentral:rRNA from 1 species